rnacentral:rRNA from 1 species
AUUGAACGCUGGCGGCAUGCCUAACACAUGCAAGUCGAACGAGUGGCGGACGGGUGAGUAAUGUCUGGGCAACUGCCUGAUGGAGGGGGAUGACUACUGGAAACGGUGGCUAAUACCGCAUACCAUCAGUUGUGCCCAGAUGGGUUGAGCUAGUUGGUGUGGUAACGGCGCACCAAGGCGACGAGUCCUAGCUGGGCUGAGAGGAUGACCGGCCACACUGGAACUGAGACACGGUCCAGACUCCUACGGGAGGCAGCAGUGGGGAAUAGUGCACAAUGGGCGAAAGCCUGAUGCAGCAACGCCGCGUGAAUGAAGAAGGUCUUCGGGUUGUAAAGUACUGUUGGUGGGGAAGCGUUACCCGCAGAAGAAGCACCGGCUAACUCCGUGCCAGCAGCCGCGGGAAUAC